rnacentral:rRNA from 1 species
CAGCAGCCGCGGUAACACCGAGGGUGCGAGCGUUAAUCGGAUUUACUGGGCGUAAAGCGUGCGUAGGCGGCUUUUUAAGUCGGAUGUGAAAUCCCUGAGCUUAACUUAGGAAUUGCAUUCGAUACUGGGAAGCUAGAGUAUGGGAGAGGAUGGUAGAAUUCCAGGUGUAGCGGUGAAAUGCGUAGAGAUCUGGAGGAAUACCGAUGGCGAAGGCAGCCAUCUGGCCUAAUACUGACGCUGAGGUACGAAAGCAUGGGGAGCAAACAGGAUUAGAGACCCGCGUAGUCCCUGUCUCUUAUAC